CCUACGGGAGGCAGCAGUGGGGAAUCUUCCACAAUGGGCGAAAGCCUGAUGGAGCAACGCCGCGUGAGUGAAGAAGGUUUUCGGAUCGUAAAACUCUGUUGUAAGGGAAGAACAAGUACAGUAGUAACUGGCUGUACCUUGACGGUACCUUAUUAGAAAGCCACGGCUAACUACGUGCCAGCAGCCGCGGUAAUACGUAGGUGGCAAGCGUUGUCCGGAAUUAUUGGGCGUAAAGCGCGCGCAGGUGGUUUCUUAAGUCUGAUGUGAAAGCCCACGGCUCAACCGUGGAGGGUCAUUGGAAACUGGGAGACUUGAGUGCAGAAGAGGAGAGUGGAAUUCCAAGUGUAGCGGUGAAAUGCGUAGAGAUUUGGAGGAACACCAGUGGCGAAGGCGACUUUCUGGUCUGUAACUGACACUGAGGCGCGAAAGCGUGGGGAGCAAACAGGAUUAGAUACCCUGGUAGUCCACGCCGUAAACGAUGAGUGCUAAGUGUUAGGGGGUUUCCGCCCCUUAGUGCUGCAGCUAACGCAUUAAGCACUCCGCCUGGGGAGUACGGUCGCAAGACUGAAACUCAAAUGAAUUGACGGGGA
rnacentral:rRNA from 1 species